GAAUGAAUUAGCCCUGAAAAUGGAUGGCGCUGAAGCGGGUGGCCGACACCACGCCGUGUGACCGAGCUUUGAUGUCACAUGAGUAGGAGGGCGUGGCGGGCGUGGAGAAGCGUGGGCGCGAGCCUGCGUGGAACGGUCCGCUAGUGCAGAUCUUGGUGGUAGUAGCAAGUAUUCAAGCGAGAACCUUGAAGGGCGAAGCGGGGAAGGGUUCCACGCGAACAUUGAUUGGGCGUGGGUGAGUCGUUCCUAAGUCGAGUGGCAAUUGCUAAGUAGCGACGAAAGGGAAGCGGGUUGAAAUUCCCGCACACGGAUGUGGAGCGCGGUGACGCGGAAUGGGGCGAACACGCUGGCGAUGGCGCUGGGCAGAGUUUUCUUUUCUGUUUGACCGAGUGUGUGCGCUGUGUGGAAUCCGCUUGUCGGGAGAAACACGCGCGCACGGGCAGAGCGCCGGGGCUUUUCCGGCGUCCAGCUCGCCAUCGACGGCCCUUGAAACUUUGCCUGCUGAAUUUGAGAUCCACGCCGUGGCGUACCGAUCACCGCAUCAGGUCCCCGAGGUGAACAGCCUCUGCUCGAUAUGAACAAUGCAGGUAAGGGAAGUCGGCAAAUUGGACCCGUAACUUUGGGAAAAGGGUUGGCUCUAGUGCUGCGUGGGAGAGGUUGUCUGUGUGUGGGGGCGGAGGGAGGGCCGGCUUGGCGCGGUAGCCUCGCAAGGGGACACUGUUCUGGGCUGCUCGCUCACUGUUUCCGCCGCGGACGACGCCCACGGCAUGCAGCAGACUAGAACUGCAACGGGCAAAGGGAAUCCGACUGUUUAAUUAAAACAAA
rnacentral:rRNA from 1 species